UGCGCAGGCGGUUGUACAAGACGGAUGUGAAAUCCCCGGGCUCAACCUGGGAAUGGCAUUCGCGACUGUACGGCUAGAGUGUGUCAGAGGGGGGUAGAAUUCCACGUGUAGCAGUGAAAUGCGUAGAUAUGUGGAGGAAUACCGAUGGCGAAGGCAGCCCCCUGGGGUAACACUGACGCUCAUGCACGAAAGCGUGGGGAGCAAACAG
rnacentral:rRNA from 1 species